CCUACGGGAGGCAGCAGUGAGGAAUAUUGGUCAAUGGGCGGGAGCCUGAACCAGCCAAGUCGCGUGAAGGAAGAAGGUACUUAGUAUUGUAAACUUCUUUUGUCGGGGAACAAAGGCGGAGACGCGUCUCCGGAUGAGUGUACCCGAAGAAAAGCAUUGGCUAACCCCGUUCCAGCACCCGCCGUUAGACGGGGGAUGCGGGCGGUAGCCGGAUUUAGUUGGGUUUAAGGGUGCGCAGGGGGGGGAUCAAGGUAGGGGUAAAAUGUCGGGGGUCAACCCCGGCCGGCCGUUGAAACUGGUUAUCUAGAGUUGGAGAGAAGUAUGCGGAAUUCGUGGUGUAGCGGUGAAAUGCAUAGAUAUGUCGAAGAACUCCGAUUGCGAAGGCAGCAUACCGGCUACAUACUGACGCUGAGGCACGAAAGCGUGGGGAUCGAACAGGAUUAGAUACCCCAGUAGUC
rnacentral:rRNA from 1 species